rnacentral:rRNA from 1 species
AUUGAACGCUGGCGGCAUGCCUUACACAUGCAAGUCGAACGGUAACAGGUUAAGCUGACGAGUGGCGAACGGGUGAGUAAUGUAUCGGAACGUGCCCAGUAGUGGGGGAUAGCCCGGCGAAAGCCGGAUUAAUACCGCAUACGACCUACGGGUGAAAGCGGGGGAUCGCAAGACCUCGCGCUAUUGGAGCGGCCGAUAUCAGAUUAGGUAGUUGGUGAGGUAAAGGCUCACCAAGCCGACGAUCUGUAGCUGGUCUGAGAGGACGACCAGCCACACUGGGACUGAGACACGGCCCAGACUCCUACGGGAGGCAGCAGUGGGGAAUUUUGGACAAUGGACGCAAGUCUGAUCCAGCCAUGCCGCGUGCGGGAAGAAGGCCUUCGGGUUGUAAACCGCUUUUGUCAGGGAAGAAAAGUCUGAGGUUAAUACCUUCGGAUGAUGACG